CAAUAGCGUAUAUUUAAGUUGUUGCAGUUAAAAAGCUCGUAGUUGGAUUUCGGAUGGGACUUGCCGGUCCGUCGUUUCGAUGUGCACUGGCCAGUCCUAUCUUGUUGUCGGGGACUAGCUCCUGGGCUUCACUGUCCGGGACUAGGAGCUGACGAGGUUACUUUGAGUAAAUUAGAGUGUUCAAAGCAAGCCUACGCUCUGAAUACAUUAGCAUGGAAUAACACGAUAGGACUCUGGCUUAUCUUGUUGGUCUGUGAGACCAGAGUAAUGAUUAAGAGGGACAGUCGGGGGCAUUCGUAUUUCAUUGUCAGAGGUGAAAUUCUUGGAUUUAUGAAAGACGAACUUCUGCGAAAGCAUUUAUCAAGGAUGUUUUCAUUAA
rnacentral:rRNA from 1 species